rnacentral:lncRNA from 1 species
CUUGAGCAGCUCUCGAUCCUUCGGUCGGCCGUGAAACACAGCUCUUUGGAACCUCUGGUCCCCGUGGGCCCAUUUUCAAGGCGCAUUCGUCGCCCUGCUGGGGUACAGAGCCCCCCUCUCCUCCCCCCACCCCCCUGCACCCGCUGCCGUCCGACAGCCCUGCUCCCAGCGCAGCCGCCGCCGCACCCCGAGGCUCACUUCCGACUCUGGACGGUCCCAUUCACAGGGACCUAUUCACAGGGACCCCUCGGCGUCUUUGGCCGAGGCAGGAGGGGAUGGGAGCUCCCUCUCUCGGCGGAGCCGCCUGGGAAGCCCGGCCCCGGGGUGCGGGUGGGGGUGGGGGGCUGCGUCCGCGGCUCUGCGGCCUGCGCGCCUCGCUCCCUGGACGCUCCCGGGCGCCAAGGCGAGACCCGGCCGCGCGGCGCUCCUCCCUCGCGCAGCCCAGGUGUGCCCCGCCCGCCGCGGCCCGGACUCCGUCUGCCACCGAGGAGCCUGCCCCUGCCCCCGCCGCCCCCCGACACGGCCCCGGGGCGCUGCCCGCGGCUCGUGCCCGCGCCACCGCCUCCCGCUCGCCAGGCGCACACCCGCAGUCCAGGCGACGCGCAACCGGCCCCGAGCCGGCCCUGCUCUCGGGUGCCUCGGGUUCCCCGUGUCCCCCCCAACCCCCCAGCCCUUAGCUGCAGACCCGGGCACCUGCUGACCAGCCUGGCACCGAGGGAGGAGGGCCCGCGCCCGCGAGGCGACACCCGGCGACGGGUCCCCCCCUCGCUCCCGCUGCGGGCGGCUCCGACCCCGAGCUCCGGCCCACGCCGCCCCGGGGAAGGGAGCCUAAGGAAUCCGGAGGUGCCCCCAGGGCGGGCCCCGGGCGACCCGUCUGGUCCACAAGGUCCCCUCCGUCACCGUCAGACGGCGGAACCCCGAGCCCCGAAGUGGCGGGUGGUGGGAUUUUCCUGGGGCCUCUCCAGCCUCUGGGUUCUGCUGAGGUGUGCUGGGGCGGUGGGGGGGGGGGGGCACAUAAAACGCAGAGUCGUGUUUCUUCUACAAAAUGAGCGUUUGGUCUACAUGACGAUGGCCCAGGGUUUGCUCUGGGCUCACAGGGCGCUGGGGCGAGGUCUCCCAAAACUUGCGCGCCCCUUUAGCUCGCGGACAGGUGACGGGCAUGGGGGGACACCAGGCCAGGUCGGCGCACCCUGCCGGCCCUCCUCUUUCUUUCUAAUAGGCGAGGGGGCUCUUUGGAGUUAUGGUUACUCGCAUCCUGGUGGUGGUUGUCUUCUUGGCGGCUUGAGGAGUGCGAAACAAAGGCAUCUGGACUGCUCGACGCACCGUUUGUUCUGCUUCCCUCUUGUUAGCAAAAUCAGCGUCUUCCUUAGUUUUUAUUCUUUUAAGCAAAAAAAAAAAAAAAAAAAAAACCAGGUCGGGGGAGGACCGAGGAACUUUGUCCACGGAAGCACAUUCGGAUUCCUCCCCACACACACACACUCGCUAAGGAUACCCCCCCCCCCAGCUCCGAAAGCUCUGCCCUCCCCCAGGUUCCCAAAGCAAAGUUCUAGAAGCUCACUUCCCAAGGCCGCUCCACGGGCUCUCCCUCCCCAUCUGCAAGGAACUGUGGAUAACGACUCGUGGCUUAAAACAACACACACACACAAAAACUCGUGUUUCAAAUUUAAAAAAAAGGGGGGGGCAGCAAAUAAACGCGUCGGGUUCAGAUUUCAGAUACAUCGGAAGAGGCGAAGCCCCUUGCCCGACAUCGCCUGCCGCAGGUCCUGCGCCCCGGUAGCCGGGGACCCGCAGCUCCCGGUCGCCCAGUUCAGAGGCGACGCCAGGCCUGGGCGCGCGCAGAAGUUUUCAGGGCGCCGGGGCCCCGCGUGCAGACUCGCCGGAGCUGCAGAUCCCCUCGUGCCCACUAGAGGUCACUGGGCCCUCGCAGCUCGCCGCGCGGCCGGCCGCCCCCCGCUCCUUAAGCUCAAAUUAGCCGCGCGUUAA